ACGGAUUCGACGGUGAGGGGCGAAGGCUGGGGGAGCGAACGGGAUUAGAUACCCCGGUAGUCCUAGCUGUAAAGCAUGCGGGCCAGGUGUCUGGUGUUCCUUGAGAGCACCAAGUGCCGGAGGGAAGCCGUUAAGCCCGCCGCCUGGGAAGUACGGUCGCAAGGCUGAAACUUAAAGAAAUUGGCGGGGGAGCACUACAAGGGGUGAGACCUGCGGUUCAAUUGGAUUCAACGCCGAAAAACUCACCAGGGGCGACAGUUGAUUGAAGGCCAGGUUGACGACCUUGCCGGACUAGCUGAGAGGUGGUGCAUGGCCGUCGUCAGCUCGUACCGUGAGGCGUCCUGUCAAGUCAGGUAACGAGCGAGACCCUCGCCCUUAGUUGCCAUCGAUGGGAAGUCGGGCACUCUAGGGGGACCGCUGGCGCUAAGUCAGAGGAAGGAGAGGGCAACGGUAGGUCCGUAUGCCCCGAAUCCCCUGGGCUACACGCGGGUCGCAAUGCGCAGGACAAUGGGAUGCAACCCCGUAAGGGGAAGCCAAUCCCCUAAACCUGCGCUCGGUUCGGAUCGAGGGCUGUAACUCGCCCUCGUGAAGCUGGAAUCCCCAGUAAUCGCGUGCCAACACCGCGCGGUGAAUACGUCCCUGCUCCUUGCACACACCGCCCGUCAAGCCAUUCGAGUGGGGUCUAGAUGAGGUUCGUUCAAGUUGGGCAGAC
rnacentral:rRNA from 1 species